CCCCCUCCCCCCUCCCCCUUCUCUUUGGUUUUCUUCUGUAGGCAGCCUCCUUGAAUGUCUUCUGAACCCAUGUGCCUGAGAUCAAGCUCAGGGGGAACCUCUUUCGUGUGAGCCCACAACAGUUAGCUCCUUUUGUUUUUCCACAUCCUGUUUUCUUGACCUUUGAAUGUUUGCUCAUGAUGAGCCAUGGCAGAACCCCAUUGAGUGGUAUUAAAAAAUAACCGUUACCCAGAACCAACUUUUCUAAAGAUGAGCUUGCGUGUAUCAUAAACUGGCUUUCACCUCAUUAGGUAUCUGUUGUCAACCUUGAACUUUUGGCCCUCCUUCCCUAGCGUUGGGAUUACAGGUAUCGCCGCACGGUUUAUGUGGUGCCGGGGAUUGGACCCAGGGUUUUGUACACGUUAGGUAGAUACUCCUAUCAACUGGGCUACAGCCCCAGGCUCCAACAUUUUUAUCUUUACCCUUUCAAUUUUCAAAGAGAUUUCUGUCCGUAGACAACCCUUGGCUGUCUCCUUUGUGCUCCAGACGUCUGGUGGCCUCUUCCACAGCUGCUCCGCAGGUCCUUUCACACUGAGGUCAGACUGCCCAGCUUCCCCUGGUCUCUGACGCUUUCAGCUUUCCGAUUGCGUCUCCAAAGCAUUGUCCCUUUAUUCACCCACUGGGUCAUUACUGAGCACCUGCCAUUGGCCGGUUUGUUCCAGGAAGAAGGGUGCCAUGAGGAAUGGGGCCAAACAAUCCCGUGACACGUGGCAACAGUGGUCGGUGAAGACAGAUGAAAUAAUCAAACGAAAAGCCAUGUAGUAACUGAAUAACAUAAAUAUACAUGUGGAGAAGGAAAUAAAAUAAGCUAAUAUACAAGUGGCAAGGGAAGAGAAGAAACAGCAAGUGACAAAGGGAGGAAAGGACGUCUCUGGCUGGUGUGAAGAUGGGGGUAAGGACCUAGGUUGGGAACAAGAGGAACAAUUAGGAGGAUAUUAGAGAAGCCCGGGAGAGCAGCAGUGGUGGCUUGGAUAGUGCCCCCUUUGAACAGCGGUAACAAUGCAGGAAAGAGAUAAACAGACCUCAGAUAGGUCUCAGAAGCAGCCAUUGCAGGGUAGAAAAAGCUCUAGUGUGGGAUCCUGGGACUGAGUCCUGGGCCCGCAACUCACUGACAGAGUCCUCAUUGAUAAAAUGAAGACAAUGGCCCCUGCUUUCAGUUUCUCGGGAUGGGGAGGUGUGGAAGGCAAUACCACCUCCUUCCCAGCCCCGUGCCCAUGGUGCCCGCUACUUGGGAGAAUGCAAACAGGCUUGAGUGUGCUCUGGGAAGGAAGCUCAGAUUUCUUAGACCCUCUUCCUUAUUAGAAGCUGAAAAGGAAAGAUUCUUGUUUACCCUGGGGAUAACUUUAAAUUGGCUCUGUUACAAGGAAGGGUGCAUCUGGAGGCCUCUCAUUGUCUUCCCAUGGUAGAAAAACUCCAGCCGGAGCUGAGCUUGUCCCUGUCCUAGGGUCAGCUGGGUCUCUGUGCUCUCGACAUGAGCCUGUUGGUGGGUCAGGGAAGGAAGAGGAGGGACUGUAUGAAGAAAGGACAGGCUUCUAGAAACUCGGCCUGGGUGGACAUUGACCUGCUGUGGGUGGAGUUCAGUUCCCAGCCCUUUCCGUGAAAGUUCUAAGAGCAGAGGUCCUAAUCCUGGAAAUCCCCAGCCUACGCUGGCUUGUGGCCUACUUUGUCCUGUAGCCCUAUGGGAGGUCUGGGGACAGGGUGCACAGAGAUUUAUUAGGGCAUAAAUCAAAGGUCAGUGGAACAGGAGAGUGAGAGUCCCUUUCGAUCCCUGAGUGUGGACUCUGGAAUCUUGGGUCCAGAGGGAAAUGGAGGAACUGACGUCAACAGGGCACCUACAAUCCGCUGGCAGCAUGCCAAGUAUCACUCUGAUGGCAUCCAAUGUCACCUCCUCCUCUUUUUUCCAACCCCCCCACCCCCGCGCAUGCUUUUUAUGGAGAAAGGAUCUCCUAUGCAGCACAGGCUGGUCUAGAACUCAUGAUCCUCCCAAGUGCUAGGAUUGCAGAUAUGUAAUCCCACUUGUCUCUCCAUUUUUCUCUCCUGACCUAGGAAACUGGGGCUUUGAGGGAUACAAGCAUCGUUUCUUCUGCUAUAGGCUUGGUAUUGUUGACUGAAUCUGCCCAAAGGACCCAGAGAACUCCUGUGGCAGACCCGGGAGCAUGGUGUGGAAAGACCUCACUGAUGUGUGCUUACAUGUGGUUGGAUUGGAACCUUCCCUCUCUACUCUGAAGCUUCCCUGAAGGUUCUUGAUGAGAAGUUUGUCAACCUCUAGAUUACCCGGAAAAGAAACUUUAAGUUGGGUCAACUGGCUCUCUGAGUAUAAUGCAUGGAGCGAGCCACUUAACCUCUCCGAGGGUCGGUUACUUUGUAAAAUAGGGUUCAGCCUUGCCGGUCUACUGUAGGAUUAUGAAUAUUACAGUAAGAUGAAUAAAUGAUAGCCCCUGACAUACAUCUCAUCGUUAAGUCACCUUUUUGUGUGUUGACAGCCUCCUCUGACUCCCUCUGUUACACAGACAUUGUAGUGCUCCAGCAGCUCCUCUCCAUCCUCAUGGGAAAGCUGUGCUCCCACAGGUCACCCGGCCUAUGCCCACGAUGCCUGGAGCUCAGACAUGUGGGUAGCAUCCUUUGCUUUUCAGCUGGCAUGCAUGGCCCCCUUCCUGGGCUGGGCUGGUGAUGAGGACUGGCCCUGUGCCCUGCUCCUCUGCCAGCUGGGUGGCUGGGCCAGCAGCAGCUUGGACAAGCUUGAAGGCCCAGCAGGGCCUCUGUGAGCGGCAGCCUUCCUGAGCCCUCCUUUAGCACUGGGCCAUCUGGUGCCUCUGUCCCCUUUUGUGUGCCUGGAGUGAGAUGGCAGAGGCAGGGAGGCAAGAGAGGAGGGGACAGGGGAUGUCAUGGCCAGCUUUCCUCCCAGUUGAAGAAGGAGAAGUUUGAGGGAAGCCGAUCCUGGGAAAGAGGUAGCCACUGCAGACUCAGGAGGGACUGGGCAGGAUGGGGAUGGUGCUAGGAUUCCUCCCCCUCCCUACCAUGUGUGUUUUCUAUAGAGUCUGGAUAGAUGCAAGGAAGGGAAGACAGAGCAGGAUGUAGGAGCAAAGCCGUAAGUGCUGAAUGAAGAAAGCAUGGCACACUGAAUCAAAGUCCUCAGAAAGCCGCAGAGGGGGCUGGGGACAUGGCCUCACUGGUAAAGUGCUUGCCACAUAAGCGGGAGUACCUGACUUUAGCUCCCUAGCACCCAUCAGAAAAGCUGAGCAUCUUGCGUGUGCCUUCAAUCCUGGCACUGGGGAGGUAGAAACAGGACUUGGGGCUUCCUGGCUAGCCAGUAAGCUGCUCUAGUGGGCUUCAGAUUCCGUGACUGAGCCCAUCUUAAAAAGUAAAUUUGGUGGAGAGUGAUUGAGCGAGGUGCCCAACAUCAACCUCUCAUCUCCACAUCCAGGGACACAUAUACAUAUGUACCGUGCCUGCCCCCCUCCCCGGAAACCUGUGAGCUGGAACAAUAGACAAAGGUGUUAGCAAGUCUCUGAGGGAAAUGUAUGUGGCUGCCCUCUUUCUGCUCAAGGAAAAAGGAAGUGAGAGAAUACGGUUGGGGCCCUUCCUUGUUUAAGUGUAGAGGAAAGGAGGUGGCUGAAACCUGUGGGUGGUACUCGUAGCAGCCUUGGAGUUCCAGUAACCCCAUCCACAGCUCCAGCUUGGGUGCCUGUCACACUGUGUAGAAGGAGUCUUAUUCCACGGAGAACUUUCAGGAUGGGUGCAGUCUCUGGGGCUGGGGAGGAAAAGUUACCCUGACAAACAGUCAUCCCCUGGUGUGGUUCCCACAGCACUGGGGGCUCUGGUGGGCUUUAAGGACUCUAAACUCUUGGGUUUCACAUGGCAUGAGGAACAGUUAGCCGACGACGAGGCCACUGCUUUGCAAUUCUCUGGAGCUCUUGGCAGUCAGCUUCUUGUCUGUGUUCAGCAAACACUUUUCUUGGGAGCUGCACAGGCUGACCUUGGGCUGGAAGCAUCUCUUCUUGAAGGUACUGUUCUCAGAGUCCACUCAGAAGUAAGCUCCCCUGCCUGGCUGGUUUUCCAGGCAUCUCCUCAUUCUUAGCUGUACCUUCCUGAGGUGCAGUAAGCCCUCUUGAUGUCCCCGAAUAGGCCUUGUCAUUGUAUCGGCAUCCGUCUUCGGGUCCCAUCUGGUCACCAUUGCUGUCCUUGAAGCAGGAAAUCUCUGAACUAAUUCCUGACGGAGCUGCCGGGAGAGCGCAUUAGGCCGAGAUGAAGCUGAGUGUGAUUGAUUUAGCACACGUAGAACCAUUUAACAUCCACCAAGUCCACAGGGUUUUUUUUUUCUCCCUCCCACCACUCUAGUCAUUUGAAGAGCUUGGGUUAGAUGCUCUAGGGGAACAUUUUGUAACUCUGAUGGUGGCGAAGGGGUGCCCUAACCUGCUCCCUGAAAGGGCAAGCGUGUCGUGGUGGUUCCAGACCCGGUCAGCUCUGGAGGGAACAGCAGUGAGUGGGGAGAGCCCACUGCUAGAGUCACAUUCACCUUGAGGAAGGUCAGGCCAAGGCUCAGAAAAUCUUUAAGGUCAGGUGAAGCUGAAAAAAUGGAUUGAGCUAAAUAGGUAGAUGAUGGCCCCUCACACGUGUCUACUCCAUGCCACAGCUGGCUUAUCUGAGCCACCUCGGGUAGGUAUAGAGGUGACCUUAAUUAACUGCUAUUUAUUGAGUAUUUAUGACUUGGGCAUUGCACUACAUACAGAUGGUCACAAUUAGUCCUGCCAACCGCCUUGAAAGGCAUGAGUGGGAAAGGCAUGGUCCAGAGAGACGAAGGCAUAGUCCCAUUCUCACACAGCUGGUAAAUGCCGGUCACUUUUUAAACUGUCACCAAGGGAGGACAAAAGCUGGGUGCUUUCCAGAGGGCUGUCCUUCUGUCUGGCCUGAUGGGGAUGUAACAGGAUGAGUGGCACGGGGAUUGGGGUGCUGUUGGAGAGGGUCAGAAAAUGGUUGCAAGGUAAGCCCCAGGCAUAACGAUGCUGUGAGCAGCAGGAGAGCAGGUAGAGCGCUUGCUUAGCAUAUAUGACAUAUGCUGGAUUUGACGCCCCAGCACUGUAUAGACGGGACACAGUAGCAUAUGUCUGCAAAUCCAGUAUCUGAGAUGUGGGGACAGAAGGAUCAGAAGUUCAAGGUCAUUGUCAGCUACACAGUAAAUUCAAGGUCAAGCGGAGACACAUGGGUCCCAGUCUCAAGAGGGGUGGGGGAGAGUGAGCGCAUGCCGUCUCUUCAGCCUGAGCAGGACAUUGAUGUUUGAAAGCUGGCAUGCAUUUCUUUCGAAUGGAGAGACUAACAGGCACAGAAGCACAGCACAGGGCUGGAGUGAUGGUUCAGUAGGCAAGAGUGAGCGCCUGAACUUGGAUCCUAGCCCACAUCAAAAGCUGGGAAUGGCUGCACCUGAGCCUGGAAAAACCCCAGGGCUGUUGGGGGCAGAGGCAAGAGAAUUACUGGGGCCUGCUGGUUGCCAGAUUAACUCUACAUCCAGUAAAGGCUCUUUCUGAAAGGAGUAAGAUGAAGAGUGAUAGAGCAGGGCACCUAACGUCCUCUUCUGAUUUCCUUGCGCAUGCACACAGACAGACAGACAGACAGACAGACAAACAUGCACACAAACACACACACAGAUAGACACAGACACAGACACAAACACAGAGAUACACACACACACACACACACACGCACGCACCAACAUGCACACAGAGAUAGAGAUACAGAAA